CAUCUAUCUAUACAUAUAAUAAAAUCGUAGAAAAGUGCUGUCUGUACAUUGAAAAUAAAAAUAAAAAAAAUAGCAGGGGUUAUUGUUAUGUCGAUGUCGAACCCAAAAAUGUAAUUAACUUUUUUUUUGUCUGUUUGUCUGUUUGUCUGUUUGUCUGUUUGUCUGUUUGUCUGUUUGUCUGUUUGUCUGUUUGUCUGUUUGUCUGUUUGUCUGUUUGUCUGUUUGUCUGUUUGUCUGUUCGUCUGUGCGCGCUAAUCUCAGAAACGGCUGAUCCGAGUUGGAUGCGGUUUUCACGAAUAUAUUGUGGGAUGCUUAAAUUUACAUUUAGUGUUUGUUUCAUGUCAAUCGGUUCAUAAAUAAAAAAGUUAUGUCAAAUUAAAGAAUCACGUCGAACAUUCUAUGCUUAUACCAUUAAUCUCCGCAACUAUUUGACGGAUUUGGUUGAAAUUUGGUACAGAUAUAGUUUAGAACCUUAGAAAGGACAUAGAUAUAUUUUUAUUUCAAAAAUCAAAAAAUAAAAAUAAGAAAUAAAUUAUUUAUAAAUAAUUCUAUGUCGAUCGUUACACGAUUUCGGUUCAUGUUAUUGUUUUAAUUUAUCGAAAAAAAGUAAAUAAAUAGUAAAAAGGUAUGAAAAAAAUAAUAUCAAUAUAAUAAAACAUUUAGUACAAAGAAAAUGCUCUAACGGAGUAUAGAUAAUUCUAUGUCGAUCGUUACACGACUUCGGUUCAUGUUAUUGUUUUAAUUCAUCGAAAAAAAGUAAAUAAAUAGUAAAAAGGUAUGAAAAAAAUAAUAUCAAUAUAAUUAAACUUUUAGUACAAAGAAAAUGCCCGAACGGAGUAUAAAUAAAUAAUCCAAGUUGUCUU